GAGGCUGCACGCGGGCUGUGCCUCUCGGGGCCGGCUUCUGCCGAGGCUGAAUUAUUUUUCACCCAUGUCUUUUGCGCACUUGUUGUUUCCUGGGCGGGUUCGCCCGCCACCAGGACCACACCAUAAACCUUUUUUAUGCAGUUGCAAUCAGCGUCAGUAUAACAAAUGUUAAUCAUUUACAACUUUCAACAACGGAUCUCUUGGUUCUGGCAUCGAUGAAGAACGCAGCGAAAUGCGAUACGUAGUGUGAAUUGCAGAAUUCAGUGAAUCAUCGAAUCUUUGAACGCACAUUGCGCCCUUUGGUAUUCCAAAGGGCAUGCCUGUUCGAGCGUCAUUUGUACCCUCAAGCUUUGCUUGGUGUUGGGCGUCUUUUGUCUUUGGCCUUUUGCCCAAAGACUCGCCUUAAAACGAUUGGCAGCCGGCCUACUGGUUUCGGAGCGCAGCACAUUUUUGCGCUUGCAAUCAGCAAAAGAGGCCAGCAAUCCAUCAAGACUACUUCUCACUUUUGACCUCGGAUCAGGUAGGGAU
rnacentral:rRNA from 1 species